UACAGAGGGUGCGAGCGUUGUUCGGAAUUAUUGGGCGUAAAGGGCGCGUAGGCGGUCAGCACAAGUCAGUUGUGAAAUCUCCGGGCUUAACUCGGAAAGGUCAACUGAUACUGUGCGACUAGAGUGCAGAAGGGGCAACUGGAAUUCUCGGUGUAGCGGUGAAAUGCGUAGAUAUCGAGAGGAACACCUGCGGCGAAGGCGGGUUGCUGGGCUGACACUGACGCUGAUGCGCGAAAGCCAGGGGAGCGAACGGG
rnacentral:rRNA from 1 species